UGGUGGCAGUUUGGUGGUUGUAUGUGUGGCAUCACUUACUGGAAUUUUUAUGAGUGACAUCACAUAUACAACUGCUAAUGUGCUACACGGAAC
rnacentral:pre_miRNA from 12 species